rnacentral:rRNA from 1 species
CUCCAGACUCCUACGGGAGGCAGCAGUGGGGAAUAUUGCACAAUGGGGGAAACCCUGAUGCAGCGACGCCGCGUGAGCGAUGAAGUAUUUCGGUAUGUAAAGCUCUCUCAGCAGGGAAGAAGAUGACGGUACCUGACUAAGAAGCCCCGGCUAACUACGUGCCAGCAGCCGCGGUAAUACGUAGGGGGCAAGCGUUAUCCGGAUUUACUGGGUGUAAAGGGAGCGUAGACGGCGAUGCAAGCCAGAUGUGAAAGCCCGGGGCUCAACCCCGGGACUGCAUUUGGAACUGUGUGGCUGGAGUGUCGGAGAGGCAGGCGGAAUUCCUAGUGUAGCGGUGAAAUGCGUAGAUAUUAGGAGGAACACCAGUGGCGAAGGCGGCCUGCUGGACGAUGACUGACGUUGAGGCUCGAAAGCGUGGGGAGCAAACAGGAUUAGAUACCCCAGUA